UACGAAGGGGGCUAGCGUUGCUCGGAAUCACUGGGCGUAAAGGGUGCGUAGGCGGGUUUUUAAGUCAGAGGUGAAAUCCUGGAGCUCAACUCCAGAACUGCCUUUGAUACUGACAAUCUCGAGUCCGGAAGAGGUUGGUGGAACAGCUAGUGUAGAGGUGAAAUUCGUAGAUAUUCGCAAGAACACCAGUGGCGAAGGCGGCGAUCUGGGAAGAUACUGACGCUGAGGUGCGAAAGCGUGGGGAGCAAACAGG
rnacentral:rRNA from 1 species